rnacentral:rRNA from 1 species
UACGGAGGAUGCGAGCGUUAUCCGGAUUUAUUGGGUUUAAAGGGUGCGUAGGCGGGACAUCAAGUCAGCGGUGAAAGUUCGUGGCUCAACCACGAAAUUGCCGUUGAAACUGUUGUUCUUGAGUGUAGAUGAGGUAGGCGGAAUUCGUAGUGUAGCGGUGAAAUGCUUAGAUAUUACGAAGAACUCCAAUUGCGUAGGCAGCUUACUAGGCUACAACUGACGCUGAGGCACGAAGGUGCGGGUAUCAAACAGG